AUGGAGAAAGUAAGAGAGAGAAGCAAGGGAAAUAGUGAAGCAGAUGUUGAAUCAUCUAAUGAUUCUAGUUACGAGUCUGUCAAGGAUGGUGCAACCACAAGUGAGACAAUCAUCCAUAGUUUGAUCAUGCCAGAGAUUGGUAGGGAACAUGUAAUAGAAGAAAAAUAUAUGACUGAUGAACUUGAUAGAGGGGUUGAAGAUGACAGGCCCAACUAA